AAAAAAAAGAAAAUAGGGCCCUUGAUAUGCGCUUUCACUCUGGUCACCUGCUACCUUAGAAGGUGUCUGUGGGUGCAUCACUUCCGGUCCUGACCGAUCACUUCCAGUCCUCACAUCCCGCAGCAAGCCAGGGUGGGCACACAGAAACCACAGUCCUUCUCUACCCAGUCUCCUCUCGUGGACUUCCCCUGACGGCUUCCCAUGGAAGAGCUUCUACAGAGAAACACGUUUACUUUAUUUUUAUUUAUUUUUUUUGCCAUGUGCCUAAUUUUCUUUCAAAUUUCCAUAUUUCUUCCUAUUCUUUAGAAGUGAUUUAGAAUGUAUGUAAGCGGGAUCCCAAUGGUAUGACUGACAUCAAGAGGAAAGACAAUAAAUACAGUUUUCCUGACUUCCCGCAAUCUUCAUGGAAAUGAGAAUGGAAUUGAAGGAGUGUAGAACUCCCAGGUUUAUUGCAACCCCACCGAAAUGAAGUCUGUGUCUCUCUUGCAACUCAAAGAUCCAUCUCUGAGGUGGAAGAUAAUUGCAGGUCAUGAUUUAAAGUUUAGUAUUUCAUUUUCGCUUAAAUGCCCGCAGAAUUAGGACAUUAGAUUCUCAUAAAUCAAUGCCCUUCAAUCAAUUAUGCUCUUAGUCACAAAACAACUGUGGAGGUGAGCUACAAUCACCUGGGCUAACCACUAUCCACUGAAGUCUUUUUUUUUUUCCCACUUAAAGCAGAUGAUGUACUUGUUGAAAUGUCACUGAAACUGGAACACCUUUCUCCGUUUCUUUUGACUAGACUUUGAGCCAGUCGCCCCUCCCUCCGCUCCCAGUUCAGAAACGGGUUUUCAUGGUAUAUAAUUUGCUUUGCUUUGCUUUGUUUGGGGGGAUCAGUUCUUUAAAUCAUUUGGCCAGACUGAAAAAAAUAGCACCAAGAUUUUUUUUCUUUCUUUUUGAAUCCGCAAGGCGAAAGGAGAACUGACAUUUAUUGAACCUGUUUCACACCCCGCACUGGGUGCUACGCCAGGGCUCCCAAUGCCCCCUGCCAUGCUGGGCGGGAAGAAUCGUGGUUCUUGUUUUGCAGAUCCACCAGUUGGGUCUCCUGGAGGUUGAGAACCUCAUCAGCAAGUGGUGGAGGACUGCUGUGCCCUUCCAGCCCUCCUUGCCCUGAUAGCAGAUCAAGAGAUUCACCCGUGAGGCACCUGAAUAGAAUAUUCUUUUAGAAGCUUGGCUCUUCCAGGUGUGGAAGAUUGGCAUUCUGGACAGUCACCAGUCCCUUCCUCAAGAGCAUUCUGAAGUUUCCUGUGUUGGUUGGACAGCGAUCUCUCUUUCUGCGGGCCCUUCCACCCCCUUCAGAAGUCUCUGCCACAGCUUCUCAAGUUCUUCACCCUUAUUGUCUUCUGAGAGGCCUGAGGGCAGAGAUCAUUUCUCAGACAUUCGUGUGUAAAUGCUGGCGGAAUGCAUGAAUGAAGAAUUAAGGGAAAGUCGACCUCAAGGACGAGGAGCCGCACCCUGUGACUCCUCUAGGUCACCAGGAGGGGUCGCUGUUGCUGCUUCCUGUGAUGGCGAGACCGUGGAUGCUGAAAGUUUUCGCUGACACGUUCUCCCCCAAUUCGGCAGUCAACUUCAGGACCUCUCCUUCCCCGACCCCUUCUCUUACCCACUCCCACGGGAAGGGGACAGAGACUGAGCCAGAAGGCGAGCCGGAGCCUGUGACUAUGGUGGGAUGUGUUUGUGCCUGGGAUAUCCUGCAAGAUGAAGACUGGGAGCCUCGGGCCCGUGAGUCCGUCCUGGCUGGGCGGAUUCACCGAUGCUCCCGGGAGAACAAGCCGCGGGAUAUAGAAGAGGCCGUUGAAAACGUCAGUGACUAAGAAACAACAACCCACACCCAUGAGCAGAUUUUGUGAGGCAUAAAAUCACAUCGCUGCUUCUGAAUCAGCGGCCGGGCCAGGGGAUUCAUUUGGCUUCCCUUGGAAAACAGGAUAGAAAAAUGCACCGAACGAGGCGAUAGCUUUGUAUUAACCAUAAUGUCAGAGAAUGCAUUGCCGUUUGCCUUGACAACUCGAGUUUGUAAAAGACAAGUAAUUACGGAGGAGUUGGUGAAAAUAAAAAAAGGGGGGUAGA